rnacentral:rRNA from 1 species
GUCCACGCCGUAAACGAUGAGUGCUAGGUGCUGCGGGUAUUGACCCCUGCGGUGCCGUAGCUAACGCGUUAAGCACUCCGCCUGGGGAGUACGGCCGCAAGGCUAAACUCAAAGGAAUUGACGGGGCCCGGCACAAGCGGUGGAGCAUGUGGUUCAAUUCGACGCAACGCGCAGAACCUUACCUGGGUUAAAUCCACUCGAAGUUGGUAGAGAUACCGAUGUGCCUUUCGGGAGCGAGUGAGAAGGUGCUGCAUGGCUGUCGU